rnacentral:lncRNA from 1 species
CGACAGAGGGAGCGCCUCGCCCACACUCCGGAUCUGCCGCGCCCGCUGCCGCCCACGGACCCUGCGGAAUUAGCUCGCAAAUGGGAGGAACAGGUGACGGGCGCCUGCUCUGGGGACGUCAGCCCUCCCAUCUCACACCCGAGGUGUGUGAAGCAGGAGGCGGGGGCGAGGGCCCCGAGACCCCAUUGCAAAUUAAGAUGUACUUUGUCUCCUUUCCAAAGGCACCGAGCUGGCUGCGUCCCCGCUUUGCAAGAAAAUGACUUCCCUGCCAGAUGGGAGCAGGACGCCCACCUCCCCGCAGCUCCGGCGACAGAGCCCGCAGGAUCCCACACGGCAUGCAUUCCUGAAGCGGUGAGAGCCCCCCUCAGCCUCGGCUGCCUGCAGCAGCGGGCCUGUGACAUCCAUUUCCCUGGGCGGGCAGGAGGGGCUGGGGCUGGGCCUGGGGCUGGGGAAGGAAAUACUCCCGCCAGCGCUUCCUGCUCGGGUCGCCUGGCGUCCCUGCAGCUCCCGCGGGGCCAGGCGAUCACCGUGGCAGGGGCUGGGCCAGUCGUGGUGUUCAGCAACCUCCCCCCCGCCCCCUGCACCCUAAGGGGGCCUGCGGGCCCUUCCUGGCCUCGGGGCUGCCCUGGGCGUCCCAGUGUGCCCACUGCCCUCCCGGGGGGGUCCAGCCGGAGUCCAGAGCCUCAGGUCCAGUCAACCUCAGGAACAGCCAAGAAUGCUUCCUCUGUGGGCACGGCCAGUGUGCUCUUGCGGGCUGGCCACUGGCAGAUGGGACCACUGGGGAGACAGAGCCCAGGAGGAAGUUCCCUUCCAAUCGGCGGACACGGCAAGGGUCCCUUCUCCUUCCCAGAGAGAGCCAGACCCUGCGCCGUGCAGAGGGCGGACAGGUGUGGGGCGCCCCGGUUACUGCAGCAGAGCCCCCAGCCCAUCUCGCCGCCCGGGGCCUUGCCCUGCCCUGUCCUCUUCCCAGGGCUCGGCCUGGGGUCUCAGCCAGCAGGGGCACUGUGGAGAAAGCACAGACCUGUCAGGCCGUGUCCCCUCAUGUAUUAA